CCUGAGCCGGCAUGACGGCGUGAAUGGACGCCCGGCAGGUAAGUGAAGGGAUAAAAGUCUAUGUGAAUGUAUGUUUUUGUUAACUUAUUGAGCUUCAAGUUUGCACGCUUGGUUAUUCUAUCCAACAGAGAAGGGAGAAGGAAAGUAGCUGGGUAACUAUCGACGCUGACGGGGUGAGAAAUGUGUAUGUGUGUGUGUGCUCUGUCAACCCCCCCCCCCAAACGUUAAAAUGGCGGUAAUAUUUCCAAUGUUAAAAUAGUGACAUCAUCUUCCAGCCUGUGGCCUCUGGGUCUGCAGACACAUGCUGCGUUGGACAGUUUUAAAUAAAGGUAAGCCUACUAGUCACCACAAUGGCAAGAGAAGCUGCAUUGGUUGGAAGGAUCCUUGACGGGUCUGGGUACAGGUAGGACUGUAUCUGAUCAGUGACUAAAGCAUUAUAUGGCCAAAUUACUUAAAUUACUUCUGUAUUCUUGUAAGGAAAAGCUUGGCUAUAACAUGGCACACAGCAUAUUUAUACAAACCUCAGCUGAGAA